rnacentral:rRNA from 1 species
AACGAACGCUGGCGGCAGGCCUAACACAUGCAAGUCGAGCGAAGCCUUCGGGCUUAGCGGCGGACGGGUGAGUAACGCGUGGGAACGUGCCCUUUGGUACGGAAUAGCCCCGGGAAACUGGGAGUAAUACCGUAUGUGGUCGAGAGACGAAAGAUUUAUCGCCAAAGGAUCGGCCCGCGUUGGAUUAGGUAGUUGGUGGGGUAAUGGCCUACCAAGCCGACGAUCCAUAGCCGGUUUGAGAGGAUGAUCAGCCACACUGGGACUGAGACACGGCCCAGACUCCUACGGGAGGCAGCAGUGGGGAAUCUUAGACAAUGGGGGAAACCCUGAUCUAGCCAUGCCGCGUGAUCGAUGAAGGCCUUAGGGUUGUAAAGAUCUUUCAGUGGGGAAGAUAAUGACUGUACCCACAGAAGAAGCCCCGGCUAACUCCGUGCCAGCAGCCGCGUAACAC